rnacentral:rRNA from 1 species
GUUAAAUAUGUAUAUAUAUUAAUUAUAUUAAAAGUUAUAUAAUUUAAAUUAUUUGAUUGUGUAGUAUAAAAGGUAAAGAAUCAUUAUUAUAAUAGUAAGUAUUGUAAAGGAAAAUAAAUAUAUUGAUUUAUAGUAGAAUUUAUAAUUCGUACCUUUUGUAUAAUGAAUUGAUGAUAUAAAUUAAAUAUAUAAUAUAAUCUCGAAAUAAAAGGAUUUACUUAGUAGAUAAUAUGUUAACGUUGUAUAGUUAUAUAAUUAAUAUUAGGUGGUAAUGAUAUAUUAAUCGAUUUUUAUGAUAGCUAGUUUAUUAGUUUAUAAUAUUUAAGUAUUAUAAUAUUGAUUUAAUAUUUGAUUAAUUUAAUAUUAGUGCAGUAUAUGAGGGUAAGCUUCAUAUAUUUAAUUAGAAUAUUAGAUGAUAUAUAUUGAGUUAUUUAUUUAAGUAAAAUUAAUAGUGUUUUUCUUUAAAAAUAAUAAUAAAUAUCAUAUACACAUUAUUCAGGUUGGAUUAUUAAUAAGCUAUAAAUAUUUAUAAAUUGGUUUUAAAUAACUAUAAUGUUAAUAUGAGUAUUAAAAUUAUAAUAAUGAUAUUUAUAAUUAUUUAAUUGAAAAUAUAUUAAAAUAAGGUAAAUUAAUUAAAUAAUAUAAAGGAAUUUGGCAAAUAAAAAUCUCGCCUGUUUACCAAAAACAUGUCUCUUUGUAAUAAUUAUAGAUAAAGAGUCGGGCCUGCUCGGUGAUUAAAUUUAACAGCUGCGGUAUUUUAACUGUACUAAGGUAGCAUAAUAGUUUGCCUUAUAAAUUGAGGCUAGAAUGAAUGGUUUGACGAAGGUUUAUCUGUCUCUAUAUUAUUUAUUAGAAAUUAAUUUUUAAAGUGAAAAAGCUUAGAUUGUUUAAAGGGACGAGAAGACCCUGUUGAGCUUAAAUUUUAUAAUUAUUAUAAAGAAAAAUUAGUAAAAAUAAAUUUUAAUUGGGGUGAUUAAGGAAUAAAAUUAUUAUUUAAUAACUUCCUUAGAACAUGUAUUUAUUUAUAAAAAGUAACCAAUAAUUAUUAUAUUGCUUUUAUAAUAGUUACCACAGGGAUAACAGCGUAAUUUGCUUAGAGAGUUCUUAUUAAAAAGUGAGUUUGCGACCUCGAUGUUGGAUUAAAAUAACCUUAAGGUGUAGAAGCUUUAAUAGGUAAAUCUGUUCGAUUUUUAAAAUUUUACAUGAUCUGAGUUCAGACCGGCGUGAGCCAGGUUGGUUUCUAUCUUUUAAAAUUGUUAAUUGUCUUUUUUAGUACGAAAGGACCAAAAAGAACUAAAAUUUUUAUUAUAUUUAAGUAAUACAUUGAUAACAAAAUAUAAUUAAGGUAUUAAUUUUCUUAAAGUUUU